GACGAACGCUGGCGGCGUGCUUAACACAUGCAAGUCGAACGGAAAGGCCCUGCUUUUGUGGGGUGCUCGAGUGGCGAACGGGUGAGUAACACGUGAGUAACCUGCCCUUGACUUUGGGUAAACUUAAGGAAACUGGGGCUAUUACCGGAUGGGGGCUCCGGCUCCAGGUGGGGGGUGGGAAAGUUUCGGCGGUUGGGGAUGGACUCGCGGCUUAUCAGCUUGUUGGUGGGGUAGUGGCUUACCAAGGCUUUGACGGGUAGCCGGCCUGAGAGGGUGACCGGCCACAUUGGGACUGAGAUACGGCCCAGACUCCUACGGGAGGCAGCAGUGGGGAAUAUUGCACAAUGGGCGGAAGCCUGAUGCAGCAACGCCGCGUGCGGGAUGACGGCCUUCGGGUUGUAAACCGCUUUCGCCUGUGACGAAGCGUGAGUGACGGUAAUGGGUAAAGAAGCACCGGCUAACUACGUG
rnacentral:rRNA from 1 species